UGGUUAUUUCCCCAUGAGCAGAAGGGAGCUUUGUCUGCACGUAGCUGGGUGGGGGCGGGUGCCCUGAUUACCAUGGAGUCUCCUAACCCAAUUCCUCACUUCAACAGAGCUGAGGCCCAGAUGCAGAGCUGGGGACUGCUGAAGGUCAGGAGUGCCUUUGAGCACAGAUCUCCUGUACAGGAGAGUUUAUAGAACACACCAGCAUGUCCAGCACUGCUGACACUCUGCAGGAGGCACACACAUCCAAAGACCUGGGCUUUGUCCUCCGAGAAAAUUGUGAGGGCAGACUAGAUUAACCCACGAUAUGACAAGGUUUUACAUCGAAUGCAAAUGGCAUCACCAAGAUAAUGGAUGCUCUUUCUACCAGUGGAUUGAGAGCCCAUCCCACAGUUCUUUGUGGAACACAGAUGUUCUGCCCUCAACCCUGAGAGGAGAGCUACAUGCUUCCAAGUGGCUGGGCAUUCAGAUUCCUAAAGACCCUAAUUGGGUUUCUGGGGUCUGCCUGUGUCCUGCUAGUGCUGGGCUGCUGGCUAAAAUAGUUCAGGCCAUAAAAAUAACAGAAUGAAAAUACUUGAAAUAACCACAUAGCCACAUAUUCCAUGCAGAGGCUAGUAAAACUUCCAAAUUACGCCAGGGCUGCUCUUCAAGGCCACAAGAGCACACAGCUGAAUGGAAAAGGAAGGGAUAUUUGCAGAAUGAGCUUAGCUCCAAUCAGUAUAAGUUUCCUCUAUCCUUCUCAACAAAACCUUCUUGGAGCCCUUUGGAAUAAUUUAUAAAGGUUGUCUUCUUUUAAAAAUGUUUUUUCAGGCCACAAUAAAGCAUGGACUUUCCAUAUUGCUUUCUUCAAUAUGACUAAUCAAAUACUUGACUGGAAGAGACAAGGUCCAAUAAAGCUUUGUGGUUCUGACCCACCCAUUCUACCUAGAAUAACUCUGCUACUCAUCCUGUCUAGACCAACACCAUGUUUUCUCGAGAUUUUCAAAGAACACCUCAACUGGCCUGUCUCAUCCCACUUUUCCUCUCUCACCUCUGUUGUACAAAAAGCACUUAUUUCCCCCAUGAACAUCAGUUAUGACCUCCUUCAGUUCAAUGCACUCUGGUAGUUUUCCACUGUUCCCAAGUUCAAACACCUUCCCAGAGCCUGGGGGCCCACAGUAGUCUAGUUUAGCCUGCCUUGGUCUUAUCAUGUGUCAUUUUUUUUUAACUUGGUACCUAUCUUUGGAGGCUCUGUACUCUUUUCAGGGUCUUCUAACUUUUCCUCAAUUCUUUUCACACUCCUUCUAAUCCUGAAGGGGCCAGCUCCCCAUUUUGGCAGCCAUAACAGCAGAACACGUACUUGCCUGACCUUGUCUUGGUCACUAGGAGGUCAGAUGCCU